rnacentral:rRNA from 1 species
GAUGAACGCUGGCGGCGUGCUUAACACAUGCAAGUCGAACGAUGAAGCCCAGCUUGCUGGGUGGAUUAGUGGCGAACGGGUGAGUAACACGUGAGUAACCUGCCCUUGACUCUGGGAUAAGCCUGGGAAACUGGGUCUAAUACUGGAUAUGACUUCUCAUCGCAUGGUGGGGGGUGGAAAGAUUUAUUGGUCUUGGAUGGACUCGCGGCCUAUCGGCUUGUUGGUGAGGUAAUGGCUCACCAAGGCGACGACGGGUAGCCGGCCUGAGAGGGUGACCGGCCACACUGGGACUGAGACACGGCCCAGACUCCUACGGGAGGCAGCAGUGGGGAAUAUUGCACAAUGGGCGCAAGCCUGAUGCAGCGACGCCGCGUGAGGGAUGACGGCCUUCGGGUUGUAAACCUCUUUCAGUAGGGAAGAAGCGAGAGUGACGGUACCUGCAGAAGAAGCGCCGGCUAACUACGUG